rnacentral:lncRNA from 1 species
CAACUGCAGUACCACCAGCAACAAUAUCUGCAGGACCAUCAGAUAUAUUAUAAAAUAGUAUUUAAAAUCAGUUGUCAGCCACAUGUGGUCUAUAUGAUGCAACAUGUUUGCAAUUGUUGGCAUGUCAUUUAAAAAUUUCAAUGCUGAUAAAACUGAAUUUUUUUAAAAAAAAAAGAGUAAUUCCAGCCUUCCAACCAAAUAUUAGAGACUUUUACGAAAGCACUCUCACAAAGUAAGUGUCUAAUAUUUACUUAAUAUUACUAUCUUUCGUUUCGUAUUUUUCAUUUUUCAAAUGAAUUAACAUAAAACAAAUAAAUG